GACGAACGCUGGCGGCGUGCUUAACACAUGCAAGUCGAACGGAAAGGCCCUGCUUUUGUGGGGUGCUCGAGUGGCGAACGGGUGAGUAACACGUGAGUAACCUGCCCUUGACUUUGGGAUAACUUCAGGAAACUGGGGCUAAUACCGGAUAGGAGCUCCUGCUGCAUGGUGGGGGUUGGAAAGUUUCGGCGGUUGGGGAUGGACUCGCGGCUUAUCAGCUUGUUGGUGGGGUAGUGGCUUACCAAGGCUUUGACGGGUAGCCGGCCUGGGAGGGUGACCGGCCACACUGGGACGGAGAUACGGCCCAGACUCCUACGGGAGGCAGCGGUGGGGAAUAUUGCACAAUAGGCGGAAGCCUGAUGCAGCAACGCCGCGUGCGGGAUGACGGCCUCCGGGUUGUAAUCCGCUUUCGCCUGUGACGAAGCGUGAGUGACGGUAAUGGGUAAAGAAGCACCGGCUAACUACGUG
rnacentral:rRNA from 1 species